GACCACGGGAAUCCAACUGUUUAAUUAAAACAAAGCAUCGCGAAGGCCCGCGGUGGGUGUUGACACGAUGUGAUUUCUGCCCAGUGCUCUGAAUGUCAAAGUGAAGAAAUUCAAUGAAGCGGGGGUAAACGGCGGGAGUAACUAUGACUCUCUUAGAGACUGUGUCAAGAGCAUGUUUACUGGGCUGCAGACCUCAACCUCCUCCUGGUCCCGCUGGAUGACUCUCACGGGCACUGUCUGAUGGAGAGUUGACUAACUGAGUCUGAGCUGCAUAUGAUAUACCCGACCCUACUGUCCUGGUUCGCCGGUCAGGCAGUAGUAUGCUACUGUGAAAAAUACUUAGUGAUGGAGGUACUCUUGAGUACUCGGUUUAACCUAACCCAUGGGCUUCCUCAUUCUUUGUUGAAAGGACGGUUGUACCUUGGGGCAGGUGCAUCCUCCGACCCUUCAAGCCCCUAGCUCCAUAUCAAGCUAAAGUUUCUACAGUGGCUAUGCAGACCAAGAGCCCUGUACAUACCGAUGGUAAGACAUCCUCUACCCAGAGGGCCUUGCAGACUUCUCCUACUGCUGGUGAGGUGUAUCCCAUCCUGGGUACCUCGCAGACUCUCCACUGACAGUGGCUCCAGUAGCACUACUGUGCCAGAGAUCGAGGCUGUGGAAUUCUUCUUGGUCCUCCCAAUGGAGAUCAUGAACUCACCGUUUGGUGAGAUUGUGAGGCCCGACACAUCUCCUGAACCUCGUGCUCCAGCAACUCUGGCCAGUGAGAAGGAAGGGGAUGCAGAAGGCUCCCAAUCACUGGUAUGGGACACUGACAGCUUCCUUGCUGUCUCUCCCCACACCUCCACUGUUGGCAUGACAGAAGGAGAAUGCGAGACGAAGAUGCAGGGAAAGGUUGUGGUGGAACUACCGAAUGAUAAUCCAGCAUGUCCCUUUUGCGGAGAUCAUGUUGGGAAACCCAACGCAUUGAGUGUCCAUCUCAAAAGGCACCCCGGGGACAAGAUGGUCGAGUUCCAGUGCUCCCUCUGAGGCAAAACCAAGCCAAAGGUGCAUGCUAUCCUAUGUUUUAUUCUCAAAUGCAAGAAAGUGGUGCCACAGGAACCAAUGGGAGCCUGGAGUUGCGAUACAUGCGACCAAAAAUAUUCCACCAAACACAAGAGAAAUGCUCACCAUGUGGAGCGAAAUCCAGAGCGAAUCCAAGCCAGUCAAACUAAAAUGAACUUGCACUGUGGAAAACACAAGAGUUGUUGGACUCUCCUUACCAAUUUUGACAAAAUGUACUCAGGUGAAAAGUGCAUUAACAAACCAAUUGCUGAUCAGAUCCAAACUAAGACAGCAGAACAAGUCAGGAAAAAGAGGUGACUUCUGGGCCUCUACAAAAGACCAAACCAGAGAAGGCUGGCACAGAGCCUGGAGAAAACUCGCAGCAUCUGGAAGUGAGAUCUGAUAAGCCAAAGGCCACAUAUGGGCUCAAAACAUUCUGUAUGCGCAGGAUAGGGACAACGCUGAAAGACCUGGGCCUUGCAGACUUUGAGGCGGAAGUUCUUAGCACAUGGGUAGCAGGGGACCCUAAUAUCAGAUCUCUGGUAGAAACCAGUUCCAUUGAUGUUCUCUCCUCCUUCUUGUCACAGGACGCUGAACCAAAAAAGAGACUGAACAAAAGGGCCAAAACCUCAAAGAAAGGGAGGACCAAAUCUUGGAUGAAGAAAAAGGCAGAAAAGAGAUGCACCUACCAGAGGUACCAGCACCUCUUUGAAAAUGACAGGUGCAAGCUCGCCUCUAUCAUCCUUGAUGGCACCAAACACAUUCAGUCUGAAAUCCCACCCGAUGAGGUCUUUCAGUCCUACAAGGACAAAUGGGAAACACAAAUUUCCUCUGAGGGAUUAGGCCCGUUCAGAUCUCAUGCAAAUGCAGAUAACACUGCAUUCAAUAUCCUAGUCUCAGCGAAGGAGGAAAUGAAAAACAUUGAAGAGAUGAGUAUGAAACCGGCUCCGGGCCCUGACAAAGCCAGCUGGAGGGACUUAGUCUACGUGGACCCCAAAGGUGAUGCUCUGGCUGGGUAUUCAAUACUUAGCUGGUUACAAGGGUCAUUCCUGAUGACAUUAGGAAUGUUGAUCGCUGCUCAUCCGGAAAACGAUGGAUCCGGAGGCUCUGAAAGACCUAGGGAAUUGAUGAUCUCUUAUCAUCGGAUCCAUCCUGAUGCGGCUAUUUUUGAGAAUACUUAUGAACAAUCUGGCUAAUUCGUGCCCUGUAAACGAGAGACAGGGGGUUUAUUGUGGCACCAGAAUGCUUGGAGAACCUCAAGGUUCUUCAUACCAUCACUAAGCAUGCCAAAAAAGAACAUAAGCCACUGGCAGUAGUAUUUGUAGAGACAGCCAAAGCAUUCGAUUCAGUGGUCCACGAUUACAUCAUGUGACUGUUGCAGGAGAGAGGCCUGGACCGACACAUCAUAAACAUCAUUGGUGACUCCUACAGGAACGUCCAUACCUGUAUGGAAAUUGGGAAGGGGCUCACCCCUGCCAUUGCUAUCAAGGUGGGCAUUAAACAAGGAGACCCAAUGUCUCCACUGUAUAAUCAACACCUUCACUAACAUUGGAAAAGCCAUCUCAACUCCAUGGAAACAAAGCCUGCUUGUCCUCCUGUACAGCAGAUGGGAAUCUCGUAAUGAUUACUAUACCAACAGAUUCAUGAUCAUGAUCACUGGAUAUGACCAUGGGUUGGAUGAGCCACCCAGGGUUUAGUACACCCUGAAUAACUCAAAAAAAGGACCUGCAUGGGUUUUAUAAAUAGCCAAAUGCCUCGUCAUCUAAUUAGUGACGCGCAUGAAUGGAUGAACGAGAUUCCC
rnacentral:ncRNA from 1 species